rnacentral:rRNA from 1 species
GAUGAACGCUGGCGGCGUGCUUAACACAUGCAAGUCGAACGGAAAGGCCCAAGCUUGCUUGGGUACUCGAGUGGCGAACGGGUGAGUAACACGUGGGUGAUCUGCCCUGCACUUCGGGAUAAGCUUGGGAAACUGGGUCUAAUACCGGAUAGGACCACAUUUUGGAUGGUGUGGUGGAAAGUUUUUCGGUGUGGGAUGAGCUCGCGGCCUAUCAGCUUGUUGGUGGGGUAAUGGCCUACCAAGGCGUCGACGGGUAGCCGGCCUGAGAGGGUGUACGGCCACAUUGGGACUGAGAUACGGCCCAGACUCCUACGGGAGGCAGCAGUGGGGAAUAUUGCACAAUGGGCGCAAGCCUGAUGCAGCGACGCCACGUGGGGGAUGACGGCCUUCGGGUUGUAAACUCCUUUCGCUAGGGACGAAGCGCAAGUGACGGUACCUGGAGAAGAAGCACCGGCUAACUACGUG